ACCAGCCACACACAACACCAGCCACACACAACACCAGCCACACAACACCAGCUACACAACACCAGCUACACAACACCAGCUACACAACACCAGCUACACAACACCAGCUACACAACACCAGCUACACAACACCAGCUACACAACACCAGCUACACAACACCAGCUACACAACACCAGCUACACAACACCAGCCACACACAACACCAGCUACACAACACCAGCUACACAACACCAGCUACACAACACCAGCUACACAACACCAGCUACACAACACCAGCUACACAACACCAGCUACACAACACCAGCUACACAACACCAGCUACACAACACCAGCUACACAACACCAGCUACACAACACCAGCUACACAACACCAGCUACACAACACCAGCUACACAACACCAGCUACACAACACCAGCUACACAACACCAUGAAAUACACGCUGCUGAUAAUGCUGCUGCUGAUGCUGUAUCUGCAGCUGACACUGGCUGCUCCACAGCAUCACUUGGCACAUAUAGGAUCUUUUGCCCAUCCCUUUGGACACAGAAGAAAUCACUUACAUUACUAUCUAAGGGGCAUCCGACACUAUCAUAGACAUCACCCAUAUGACGGGGGAAACGGCAUUCCCCACUGCUGUCCAUACCAAGUGUAACGUGAGGAUUGUGAGGGCAACAAUCAGCUGUAGCCGUCAUCAAUCACCUCGUUACAGCAAGAAUGUAUUACAUAAUGUAUAUCUUUGAGUGUAUAUGCAGUAACAGUUAACUUUACGGUGUAUUUUAGGUAUUAAAGUAUUCUUGACUAGUUGUGUCGAGGUGACAUGCAGCCUUCAUGACCCUCGUGUAGUAGAUAGGGUUUAAACUCCAUUAAUCUACCAACAUCACUGAUGUUGUUAUGGCACCAUGGAACUGUAACAACAUUAGUAGUGUGAAAAAUAUGGUGAUACAGACAGCAUAUGGAAAAAGACACUUACGUACAGCUGUACAUAAGUGUCUCGACAUUAAUGUGUUUGUUUUAAAGGAUAUAAAUACCUCAGUUGGGUCUUAAUGCUGUUCUUAUUUUCUUUAUUAACAUUCAAGAAUAUUGUAUGUUAUGAGGAUUUAAUGUUUAUAUGUUAGGUUAGUGUAUAUGAACUGAGAAGUGUAUACACACUUGUCAGUGUAUAUACAUCUCCUAGUGUAUGUACACUUGUCAGUGUAUAUACAUCUCCUAGUGUAUGUACACUUGUCAGUGUAUAUACAUCUCCUAGUGUAUGUACACUUGUCAGUGUAUAUACAUCUCCUAGUGUAUGUACACUUGUCAGUGUAUAUACAUCUCCUAGUGUAUGUACACUUGUCAGUGUAUAUAUAGCUCCUAGUGUAUGUACAUCUAUCAGUGUAUAUAACCUGCAAAUCCAACUUAACUGCAGAAUUUGAAGUAUAUAUAUAUAUA